rnacentral:rRNA from 1 species
CGGAUUAGCCCAAACCAAUAAAGUUUUCUUUAUUGGGGUUGCGGACAUAUCAUAACGAAGAGGUAUCGUAAUUGAAGAGGUUUGGAAAGACCCACCACAGAAGGUAAUAGUCCUGUAUGUUAAACGAGAAGACUUCAGAUAUGAUCCAGAGUACCACGGGACACGUGAAACCCUGUGGGAAGCAGGAGGGACCACCCUCCAAGGCUAAAUACUACCUAGUGACCGAUAGCGUAUAGUACCGUGAGGGAAAGGUGAAAAGAACCCCGGGAGGGGAGUGAAAUAGAACCUGAAACCCUGCACUUACAAGCUGUGGAAGCACAUUUCUUGUGUGACCGCGUACUUUUUGUAGAACGGGCCAACGAGUUACGUUAAGUAGCAAGGUUAAGCACUUAAGGUGUGGAGCCGUAGCGAAAGCGAGUUUUAACUGAGCGUUCAGUUACUUGACGUAGACCCGAAACCGGGCGAUCUACCCAUGAGCAGGAUGAAGCGAAAGUAAAAUUUCGUGGAGGUCCGAACCCACGAGCG